CCGCUUUCUAGAAUUCAAAAUACGUGUCUUGCUAGUACCAUGCUGCUCAAAACUGUCACUUUUGGUUCAAGUCUCGGGACAUAAAAAUGGCGUUCGACCAUGAAAGGGACGUGAGCGGCGAGUUACGUGUGUGAACAACACCGUCCCCUAGAUGACAAAAGAGCACUUUCGAGUUGCCUUGCUUCAUCAUCAACCUUCCUUCAAUGAGUUCAAUCCUUCUUCGUCUUCCACCGGGACCAUGCCACGGGACACCAAAUCAGCAGCAUCGCUUGCACUCAACACCUUCUCCCAUAGUUGCUCAACAGGAUUCUUACUGCAAUUACGUCCCUGUGUGAGUAAACAUUGAGGUUACGCAAGCAAAAACUACUCGAUAAAGCAGCACCAUUUCGGGAUUUUCACCAGUUCACCUGCUGUAGUGCUGUUGUUUCGUUUCUGCAGUGGAAGUACGGCGCCUGGACUCGUCACCAGAUUUUUCUCCCACGGGUCCGUCGCGUCGCGUCCAUCAGGUCGCCGGUUCCCAGGCCAGUGAGCAUUCUGCAGCGGCGACCGGCGAGGGGUGCCGACCGCCGGCGUGUCCGCGGCUCACGGUGGACGGGUUCCAACGACGCCGACGGGGGACAGGCACAGCACCACCGCGACGAGGACCGGAAACGUGGCGCCCGAAAGGCCGAUGUCUGUCACCG
rnacentral:lncRNA from 1 species